CCUACGGGAGGCAGCAGUGGGGAAUAUUGCACAAUGGGGGGAACCCUGAUGCAGCGACGCCGCGUGAGUGAAGAAGUAUUUCGGUAUGUAAAGCUCUGUCAGCAGGGAAGAAGAAAGACGGGACCUGACAAAGAAGACCCGGCUAACUACGUGCCAGCAGCCGCGGUAAUACGUAGGGGGCAAGCGUUAUCCGGAUUUACUGGGUGUAAAGGGAGCGUAGACGGCAUGGCAAGUCUGGAGUGAAAGGCAGGGGCCCAACCCCUGGACUGCUUUGGAAACUGUCCAGCUAGAGUGCAGGAGAGGUAAGCGGAAUUCCUAGUGUAGCGGUGAAAUGCGUAGAUAUUAGGAGGAACACCAGUGGCGAAGGCGGCUUACUGGACUGUAACUGACGUUGAGGCUCGAAAGCGUGGGGAGCGAACAGGAUUAGAUACCCGGGUAGUC
rnacentral:rRNA from 1 species